GAAGGAAAAGAACUGGCUCAUGGCUACGGGAGCAAGUCUUACAACUUGGUCCAACUUUCAUUAAAAUUGGACAAUUGUUUUCGACAAGAUCAGAUUUAUUUCCCCGUGAGUUUGUCAAUGAGCUUGCCAAAUUGCAGGAUAGGGUCCCUGCAUUCUCACCAGAGAAAGCACGACGAUUCAUUGAGAGCGAACUAGGAGCUCCCAUCGAAGAGCUAUUCAAGGAGUUUGACGACCAACCAAUUGCUGCAGCUAGUCUUGGUCAGGCAAGAAAUUUAAAGCUAAUUGCGGAGUAUUUUCAGAGGAAUGAGACUUUUGGCACAAGGGAUUGGAUUGGUAUAUACAAAGAGUGUGAAAAGUAAGUGGGUAAUUAAUAAAUUUAAUGAUACUCUUCCUUCAUUUAAUGAUAUUAAUUACUACAAUUUAUAAGGCCUUGAUUAAUCAUAAAACUUAGUGCUAAUAUUUUUUAUUCAGAUUUAACAUAUUAAGUUUUGUUAGGUUGUUAAAUUUAUUAUUUUUAGUUUAAAUUUUAAAUUUUAUUGAUUGAUCAUUUUUUGGGGGUCGAUUUAUGCUAGAGAUACUCGUAUUCUGUUAAAAUUCAAAUUUUAGUUUAUUUAUUAUAAUUUAUAUAAAUUUAAAGUUCAUACUAUUUUGAUUUAAUAAAUUUAGUCUAAUCAUAAAUUUUAUCAAUUUUUUUAUAAUUAAAAAUGUUGAUAUGACCAUUGACUUGAUUAUUGGGUAUUAACUUUGUUAAUAUGAUAUUGUCUUUGUUGAUGUGAUAAUUUGAAUUUAUGAAAUCAAUUGUUAAA